GAUGAAGAACGUAGCGAAAUGCGAUAAGUAAUGUGAAUUGCAGAAUUCAGUGAAUCAUCGAAUCUUUGAACGCACCUUGCGCCCUUUGGCCAUUCCGAAGGGCAUGCCUGUUUGAGUAUCAUGAACACCUCAACUCUUUAUGGUUUUCCAUGAUGAGCUUGGACUCUGGGGGUUUUGCUGGCUCACAGUCGGCUCCUCUAAAAUGAAUCAGCUUACCAGUGUUUGGUGGGUAUCAUGGGUGUGAUAACUAUCUACGCUUGUGGUUUUUCCACCAGGUAACCUUCAGCAGUGGAGGUUCGCUGGAGCUCAUAGAUGUCCCUCCUCAGUGAGGACAGCCCUUUGAAUGUUUGAUCUCAAAUCAGGUAGGACUACCCGCUGAACUUAAGCAUAUCAAUAAGCGGAGGA
rnacentral:misc_RNA from 1 species